UGUCCCAUGAUUCCCAUCAACAGCUUCAACUGGUUCUGGGCGUCUAGGUUCUAAGUAUACCUAUUUUAUGGAAGAUAAGAAAAAACUGUUUCUAAUCAGAUUUGAUUUCUAAGCCGUUUUUUUGCAAAUAUAGUGAUAGCCGAGGGUUCUGUAAUAUGCCGCUUGUAAUGUGGCUUUUGAUGUUUAUUCUACAAAAGACGAACCCUUCAAUUGUUAAAAUUGUUUUAACAAAAAGCAAAUAUCCUUCCUUGCCGUCAGUAAUUGAUAUUCCUUUGAAAGUCAUCAUUCAAAGAGAGAUCAUUGUCAAGUGCUGUAGCAAACCAGCCCGUUGGCUCGCAU